rnacentral:rRNA from 1 species
CUCCCAGACUCCUACGGGAGGCAGCAGUGAGGGAUAUUGGUCAAUGGGGGAAACCCUGAACCAGCAACGCCGCGUGAGGGAAGACGGUUUUCGGAUUGUAAACCUCUGUCCUCUGUGAAGAUAAUGACGGUAGCAGAGGAGGAAGCUCCGGCUAACUACGUGCCAGCAGCCGCGGUAAUACGUAGGGAGCAAGCGUUGUCCAGAAUUACUGGGUGUAAAGGGAGCGUAGGCGGGAUAGUAAGUUGAUUGUUAAAACUAUCGGCUCAACUGGUAGAUGCGAUCAAAACUGCAAUUCUUGAGUGAAGUAGAGGCAGGCGGAAUUCCUAGUGUAGCGGUGAAAUGCGUAGAUAUUAGGAGGAACACCAGUGGCGAAGGCGGCCUGCUGGGCUUUAACUGACGCUGAGGCUCGAAAGUGUGGGUAGCAAACAGGAUUAGAUACCCCAGUA